rnacentral:rRNA from 1 species
CAUGCAAGUCGAGCGCACCUUCGGGUGAGCGGCGGACGGGUUAGUAACGCGUGGGAACGUACCCUUUUCUACGGAAUAGCCUUUGGAAACGAAGAGUAAUACCGUAUACGCCCUUUGGGGGAAAGAUUUAUCGGAGAAGGAUCGGCCCGCGUUAGAUUAGAUAGUUGGUGGGGUAACGGCCUACCAAGUCUACGAUCUAUAGCUGGUUUUAGAGGAUGAUCAGCAACACUGGGACUGAGACACGGCCCAGACUCCUACGGGAGGCAGCAGUGGGGAAUCUUAGACAAUGGGCGCAAGCCUGAUCUAGCCAUGCCGCGUGAGUGAUGAAGGCCUUAGGGUCGUAAAGCUCUUUCGCCUGUGAUGAUAAUGACAGUAGCAGGUAAAGAAACCCCGGCUAACUCCG